rnacentral:rRNA from 2 species
AUGCAGUCGACGCGUCUCCGUUGAUGAUUUUAGGUGCUUGCACUUGAAAGAUUUAACAUUGAGACGAGUGGCGAACUGGUGAGUAACACGUGGGUAACCUGCCCUUGAAGUAGGGGAUAACACUUGGAAACAGGUGCUAAUACCGUAUAACAACCAAAACCACCUGGUUUUGGUUUAAAAGACGGCUUCGGCUGUCACUUUAGGAUGGACCCGCGGCGUAUUAGCUUGUUGGUAAGGUAACGGCCUACCAAGGCGAUGAUACGUAGCCGACCUGAGAGGGUAAUCGGCCACAUUGGGACUGAGACACGGCCCAAACUCCUACGGGAGGCAGCAGUAGGGAAUCUUCCACAAUGGACGAAAGUCUGAUGGAGCAACGCCGCGUGAGUGAUGAAGGGUUUCGGCUCGUAAAACUCUGUUGUUGGAGAAGAACAGGUGUCAGAGUAACUGUUGACAUCUUGACGGUAUCCAACCAGAAAGCCACGGCUAACUACGUGCCAGCAGCCGCGGUAAUACGUAGGUGGCAAGCGUUGUCCGGAUUUAUUGGGCGUAAAGCGAGCGCAGGCGGUUUUUUAGGUCUGAUGUGAAAGCCUUCGGCUUAACCGGAGAAGUGCAUCGGAAACCGGGAGGCUUGAGUGCAGAAGAGGACAGUGGAACUCCAUGUGUAGCGGUGAAAUGCGUAGAUAUAUGGAAGAACACCAGUGGCGAACGCGGCUGUCUGGUCUGUAACUGACGCUGAGGCUCGAAAGCAUGGGUAGCGAACAGGAUUAGAUACCCUGGUAGUCCAUGCCGUAA